rnacentral:lncRNA from 10 species
CCAGAUGGAACACAGUGACCCAAAAGAAGGCUGGGCGUGUAUAAAGGUGUUGCAGGACUUUUCCUUAGUUCGGCUAAAGACGGGGUCCUUGUCCGUCCCAUGGCCGUGAAAAUUUAGGCUCAUAGACGGUUUGAAUGGUGAGUAGGAGAGAGUAGUAUUGAUUGAAGAGGAAGAAAAGAGGCUCGAAUCAGGGACUCUCGCAAGGCGAGCCCCUGCUAGAGCGCUUCCCGCCUGCAGCUUGAAUCCCGGGUUCCACACAGGAAGAGGAGGGACCAGGCUCCUCCCUGCUCCAAAGGGCACGAACUUCUGUGUCUCCACCCCAGUGCGCAUUUCUCCUAGUGCGCAGGCUCGUUGGAGGUUUUCCGGGGACCCUUUCCAACCUGGCUGUCUCAAAGGGAACCAGAUUAUGCAAGGCUUUGUGUUCCAGCUUAGGCUAAACCAAGAACAACUUUAUCCUAAGGUCAAGAGGAAAUAUUUGAUAGGUUCUAAAGAAGGGAGGAGGAAACUGAGACCCAGGCAGAAGAAUUUGUUCUUCAAACUGCGAAAGCAGAGCUACCCCAAUUCAUCCACACACAUAGUAUUUCAGAGAAAAAAAGAAAACCCUAUGAUGGCAAGCAGUCAUAAGGAUGAAUGGUUUUCUACCAGGUGAACUACGUGGUCAUGGAAGCACUGUUGAUGGUGUGGCACUACUGCCUGUUCUUCAAAGGAAGUCAGGGACCCCCAAAUGGAGAGACCAGCUGGAGCCGAGGCAGAAGAACAUAAAUUGUGAAGAUUUCAUGGGCAUUUAUCUGUUCCCAAAAUUAAUAGUUUUAUAAUUUCUUAUGCCUGUCUUUACUGCAGUCUCUGAACAUAAAUUGUGAAGAUUUCAUGGACAUUUAUCACUUCCCCAAACAAUACUCAUAAUUUCUUAUGCCUAUCUUUACUUUAAUCUCUUAAUCCUGUUAUCUUCAUAAGCUGAGAAUGUACGUCACCUCAGGACCACUAUGGUACAAACUGAUUGUAAAAUAUGUGUAUUUGAACAAUAUGAAAUCAGUGCACCCUGAAAAAGAACAGAAUAACAGCAAUUUUCAGGGAACAAGAGAGAUAACCAUAAGGUCUGACUGCCUGUGGGGUCAGGUAGAAUAGAGCCAUAUUUUUCUUCUUGCAGAGAGCCUAUAGAGGGAUAUGUGAGUAGGAGAAAUAUCACUGAAUUCUUUUUCCAGCAAGGAAUAUUAAUAAUUGAUAACUGUGGGGAAGGAAUGCAUUCCUGGGGGUAGGUCUGUAGACAGCCGCUCUGGAAGUGUCUGUCUUAUGUGGUUGAGAUAAGGACUGAAAUACGCCCUGGUCUCCUGCAGUACCCUCAGGCUUACUAUCAUCCUAGUAAGCCUGAUAAAUUCCAGCCUGGUAAAUUCUAAUCAGACCAGUUGUCUGCUCUUGAACCCUGCUUCCUGUUAACAUGUUUAUCAAGACAAUGUGUGCACAGCGGGACAUAGACCUUCAUCAGUAAUUCUAAUUUUGCCUUGCCUUGCGAUCUUUAUUGCCCUUUGAAGCAUAAGCAUAUGAUCCUUGUGACCUACUCCCUGUUCGUACCUCCCCUCCCCUUCUAAAAUCCCUA